rnacentral:rRNA from 1 species
ACCAGACUCCUACGGGAGGCAGUAGUGGGGAAUAUUGGGCAAUGGGCGCAAGCCUGACCCAGCAACGCCGCGUGAAGGAAGAAGGCUUUCGGGUUGUAAACUUCUUUUCUCAGGGACGAAGCAAGUGACGGUACCUGAGGAAUAAGCCACGGCUAACUACGUGCCAGCAGCCGCGGUAAUACGUAGGUGGCAAGCGUUAUCCGGAUUUACUGGGUGUAAAGGGCGUGUAGGCGGGACUGCAAGUCAGAUGUGAAAACCACGGGCUCAACCUGUGGCCUGCAUUUGAAACUGUAGUUCUUGAGUACUGGAGAGGCAGACGGAAUUCCUAGUGUAGCGGUGAAAUGCGUAGAUAUUAGGAGGAACACCAGUGGCGAAGGCGGCGUACUGGACUGUAACUGACGUUGAGGCUCGAAAGCGUGGGGAGCAAACAGGAUUAGAUACCCUGGUACAC